UUGAUCUCUCUCACCUCUCUCUGAACUCAUCUCAUAUCCCCUAAAUCUGCGCUACUAUCAACAUAUUCUAAUCGAUAUCAUCUCCUGGUCAUCAGUAGUAGCAUCACCCUAAAUCUCCCAAAAGGGUACGUAUCGUGAUUUUACAUGAAUUCAAAGCCAAGUUUAACUACACCAUCCUCUGCACCAAAUAUGCACAGUUCCCUUCCCCCACUUCCAACAACUAAUAACUUGGGAAAAAGAAAAGUUGUCAUUCGAUCAAAUGUGUGGGAUCAAAUGUGUGCAUAUGUAAGUACUGUAAGUUUGAUUACAGAUGUGACUCUCGUAAUGAUACUUCCUCAGUGUGGUAUCAUUUAAAGACUAGUAAAACAUCUCCACUUCAAAAAAAAAUUCUCAAAAAGUCCUAAACUUUGGCAAGAAGGAGGAUGGUAGAAAUCUAAUGAGUUGGUCAUUUAGUAAGGAGAGAUCUAGACUUGCAUGUGUACGGAUGGUUAUUCGUGAUGAGCUUCCAUUUAGUCAUGUAGAGAAUAUGGGGUUUAGAGAUUUAAUGCUAGAAGUCCAACUAAAGUUUGAUCUCCACCAUCUCGUAGGACAACUGCUAGAGAUGUGUGGCACCUCUUUCAACUAGAGAAGGGUAAGAUCAAGAGUGUUUUAAAUCACCAAUCACAUAAAGUGUCUAUUACCACCGACACAUAGACAUCUCUUGUGGUUGUCACGGCUUAUUUUAUUGAUGUUGAUUGGCACUUGCAUAAGAGAAUUUUAAGCUUUUGUGUCAUUCCAAACCAUAAGGGUGAAAGCAUUGGAAAGCUUUUGGAAUCUUGUUUGAAUGAUUGGGGUAUAGAAAAGGUGUUCGCUAUUACGGUUGAUAAUGCUACUCCUAAUGAUAAAAUGAUAAGUUACAUGAAGGGUAAGUUGACUAAUUGGAAGACACUUAUGUUUGGUGGUGAUUGUUUGCAUGUGCGUUGUUGUGCCCAUAUUCUCAAUUUAAUUGUUUUUGAAGGGAUGAAGGAAUUGGAUAGCUCAAAUAUGGCCAUUAGUAAUUUGGUGAGGUACAUCCACUCUUCCGCCACAAGGUUGGCAAAUUGGAGAAAGUGUGUUUCCUUUGAGAACCUUGAUAUCAAAGGCAUUGUACCCUUGGAUGUGUGUACAAGGUGGAAUUCCACCUAUUUAUUGUUGGAAGGGGCAUUGAAGUAUCAAAAGGCUUUUGAAAGGAUGUUGGAGGAUGAUGUAGACCCACACUUUGUUUCUUUCUUUAUGGAUGAUGAUGUUGAGAAAAGGAAAAAAAGAGUGGGGCCUCCUACCUCAAAUGAUUGGGAUUGUGCUAAAGUCUUGAUUGAGUUCUUGAAGUUGUACUACGAAGCCACUUUGAAAUUUAGUGGGUCAAAGGUAGUCACCUCCCACCAAGUUUUCCCUCAAAUGUGUGCUAUUUAUGUUCAAUUGCAAAAGUUUUGUGCAAGUGAGGAUUCUCUCAUGAAAAGCAUAGCAACUUCAAUAAAAAGAAAGUUUGAUAAGUAUUGGGGCAAUGUUGAUGAUAUUAACAAGAUGUUGCUUAUUGCAAUUGUUCUUGAUCCUUGAUACAAAAUGGAGUAUCUCUUAUUUAGCCUUUCUGAUAUAGAAUCCAAUCCCUCCAAGGUUGACGAGUUACAGAAAGGAGUGAAAGACUUUUUAAUGCACAUGUAUGAGGUGUAUAAAGUGGCUGAUAAGUAUUUGUUUGAGAAACCUCAAAAUCUUAAAAAUCCAAACUUUGAAUUGUUGUCUUGGUGGAGUGAGAAUAGUCCAAGGUUUCUGGUUCUAUCCAAAAUUGCUAAGGAUGUGUUUGGGAUUCCAAUCUCUACCGUGGCUUCAGAAUCUGCCUUUAGUUUGGGUGGUUGAAUUGUAGAUCCUUUUCGUGCUUCUUUGACUCCAAAAAUGGUGGAAGCCUUGGUUUGCACAAGUGAUUGAUUGAAAGUUGAAGAAUUCUCUUUUUACAAAGAACCCACCGAGGAGGAACUUGAAUUUUAUGACGCUUUGGAGAAAACUGAGACAGAAGUGGACACUUGAUCUCAAAUGGCAGAGCAAGUUGGCACAACCUAGUACUUUGUUGAAGUUGUUGUAUUGAAGAGUGGCCCUUGUUUUUAUGGAAUGUUAUACUUUGUUCCCGC